AGUGAAUAGAUACCCCGGUAGUCUACGCCGUAAACGAUGCGCACUAGGUUCGAGGUCCCCUGACGGACCUCGGGCCGAAAAACAAAAAAGCGUUAAAGUGCGCCGCCUGGGGAGUACGGCCGCAAGGCUAAAACUCAAAGGAAUUGACGGGGGCUCACACAAGCGGUGGAGCAUGUGGAUCAAAUUCGAAGCAACGCGAAGAACCUUACCUGGGUUUGACAUGCUUGGAUGGUCGCCUUGAAAGAGGAGUGAUCUGCCCGNAGGUGAAACAAGUACAGGUGCUGCAUGGCUGUCGUCAGCUCGUGCUGUGAAGUGUCGGGUUAAGUCCCUUAACGAGCGAAACCCUUAUCGUUAGUUGCCAGCGGGUCAUGCCGGGAACUCUAACGAGACUGCCGGCGUUAAGCCGGAGGAAGGUGGGGACGGACGUCAAGUCAUCAUGGCCUUUAUGCCCAGGGUGUCGACACGUGCUACAAUGGAGCGUACAGAGCGAAGCAAGACCGC
rnacentral:rRNA from 1 species